UUUAUAAGUUGAAGUGAAAAUAAAAACAUGAAGUACACAAAGUAAAGUAAAUGAUCUAAAAUAAAAAUAUAGUGUGACACAAGUGAUAGAUGUUUGAUCGUUUAACUAUUUAGUUGGAGGUUUGAUCAAUGAUAGCUCGUUAGUAUAUACUGAGAAAUAUAUACAGGAGAUAUCAACCCCAUUAAUAAAUUUUAAUUACAUUGAGUGAUUAGUCUCGUAAUUUCACGCAUGAUAUCUUUUUUGAAAAAAGGAUCCUAAGAUUGAUAAAAUUGGUAUUUCAAUUUCUGUUAAAAUGGGAAGAAGAAAAAAGAAACAAAUAAAAUGAAUAAGUUAAUGUGGGUCUGUUGGGAGGGGGGCAUGUCAAUGUCCAAUAGGAGUAAUGAGCUGGAUAUGGAAGGUGACAAGAAGUUGCAAAUUGCAUUAUUGUUUGUUCUAAUCUAAUCUCAUGGCCUUGUGAAUUAUCAGUCCUUCCUACCACUUGAUAUCCCAUCUGUCAAUAUAUGAUUCCAAAUUGUCCAUUUCCUCGUUUGGUCACCUUGCUUUUAUUAGUAAUUUUGACAGCAAAAUUUCACCUCAUUUGCUGGACAAUCAUGCUUAUCAUUAAUAUUUAAUACUAUAUGAUAGUGAGUUUUCACAUUGAUAAAAACAAAAUUGUGUUAUUUAUUUACAUGUAUGUUAUGGUAUAUACCCUUACCAAAAUAGAAUCAAUCACAUGGUGAAUUUGAAAGCGUGUGAAUAUUACAAAGUCUGACUCAUUCACUUAAAUUUGUGUAUAUAUGAUCCACAGUGAGAAUAUGAAAUCAAUUAUGAUGGGGAUCAUUUAAGAGAUUCCUUUGCAAUAAUAAUAUGUAUCCUUCUCAAGAAAACUAUACUCAUUCAUUACCCACUAAAGCAGUAGUUAGGUACAGGUGUGGUGUGGGAAUUAUUUGUCUUGUUUAGAGAAGUUAUUAAUUAGUAAUUUAAAACAUAUUCGUUCUGAUGUGAUCCAGUGUAUAAAGGAAUCAAACCGAAGUAUUGCCUUCUCAUGCAGCCGACAGGGUCGCACCGUACCAUGGUAUCAAGUUCAUCUAAUACAUGGUGGCAGCAAGUAAACAGAGCUAUCAGGAGGAAGAGAUAAGCUGUUGGAGAAAUGGUUUUCAAUUUUUAUUAUUCGACGAAGUAAAUAUGGUAGCCCAUCAAUCAAAUCUAACUAGCUAAAAUCAAGCAUAAGAUAGAACGUUUUAUCAACGCCAACCAGUAACCACCAACCUCUCUUCAUUCUCCAAUCAGUUGCACUUUUGAAUAUUCAUCUUCACUCUCUCAAAGUUGUUCCAUGCUAUUGGGAACACGAUUGGUUUCUAGUAGAAUUGCUUGUAAAAAGAGUACGCACUAGAGCUGAAAUAUCUACUGUUAUAUCAUAUAUGCAUGGUGACUUGUAAUCAAUUGUUACAAAAGUGAACUUUAUUUUUUGGUUAAUUAAGAUGUAUCUUUCUAAUACAGAAUAAAUUAAGAGCAACGUUGAACAAUAAUGUAAAAAGUAAUAUUGCAAAAAAAGACUUUAAACAACAUUGUUAUGGAAAUUGAUGGAAAAUAGAAUGUCUCUAGUCUGGAAUUAGAGAGAGUGAAAAUUCGUUCAAGCAACAUUUACACCUACCACAACAUUAAUCACAACACUUACGAAAAUUAUUAAGCUGAUGUGAUGUUCAAACUUCCGACAUGAAUUAAAUACCAGCUUGAUCUGGUCAUGUUUCCAAGCAUAUAAGAAGCCUCGGGG